UGUCCGGACCUCUAGGGGAAGUUCAUUCCACCACCUUGGUGCCAGUACAGAGAAGAGUCUUGUAGUAUACUUGCCUCUUACCCUGAGAGAUGGUGGAACCAGUCGAGCAGUGCUAGUAGAUCGGAGGGUGCGGGGUGCAGUGCGAGGAGUGAUGAGGGCUUUGAGGUGAGAUCUGUGCUUCAAUCCCCAUCUGCCAUCAUCAAAGAGCUCAGAUGAGCCUUGGAGGAGGUGCCAUGAGCCAGCUGAGAUGCUUGAGCCCACACUGCCACCUAUUAACAUGCUGAAGAGGCUACUCACAAAAACCAAAAUCAAGUCAUGAUGGAGGAAUACUGGAACUUCUGGAAAAGUUCUGGACCAGAUGAGAAUACAUACCAGCAGGAAGCGAAGGCAAAACUGGAUCAGAUCCAACCCCAGCCCCCAGACUUUUGCUUCUGCAGUGAGAUGCUCUUGCCCAACACAAAUUAUUGUUAUAGUACAGAUUCUGAAUGAUUGCCAUAAGUUGUCACAUAAGCUAACAUAGACA